rnacentral:lncRNA from 1 species
CUUGGCAAAGCCAACAACUGCCAGGCUUCCACUGAGCUGAAGACCAUUCAGUGGAGCCAUGGCUACUUGUGUCAUUUAUUUCCUGUUAUUUCUGCUGCUUUUCUUUAUAAGAAGUGAAUCCUUCUCAAAAAGAGAAACUGAUUUUCCUGACCAAAACAAAAUCAAAGUUCAUCAUCUCAGGAGAGGUGUCCUAAAUGGUAUCACAUAUAUUCUCAUGUUGGCUACCAUGAUCCUGAUUUCCUGUUCCUGCUUCCUCUACUGGAGAAUAAGAAGAACCAGAUUCAGCAAGAAAAGAGCCAAAAAGAAUACAUUACAAUCGUUAUCCGUCCACAGUUACCAAGGAUCCGUAAGAAAAUGAUUCUUUCAGUUCUUCAAGGAUCACAUCAAGUCUGAUACUGCUGUCAUCCUCCUGCUUCACUCUGAGUAUCUAACAACAAUGAAUCCAUCCAUCCUCCUCUCAUGUCAACUUCAGGCAACCAAAUUCCAUCCUGAUGUUCCAAAAUUCCACCUUACAGUCUGAAGAAAUAUCCCACAACUGUAGGUGCCAUCUCAUCAAUACUCCUAGCGGCCACAAGCAAAGAUCUUGCUGCAAUUUACUCCUUGAGAACACCUUAUGGAUGCCCUAGUUGUUUUGCUGAAUUAAUCAAUCCAAGAGGUUCCCUGGAAGAGCAGUGGAAGCAGAAGAGAUUAGUGACUCCGAGAUUACCAUCUGAACAGUGAUCACCUGUUGACUUCAAACUCAGAGUCUUCUAGUUCUGACUAAUAAAAGAUCCAACAUCAUAAAACA